CAACCGGCAAACCGACCUGCAGAUAUUGCUGCUGAUCCAUAUCCUAUCUCUUCCUUUUCUUCUUCUUUUGUGAAGCGGCACUCUAUCCGUAUCACACUAUCAGCCGUGCCAUAUUCCUCUAUCGGCAAGCCGCGGGCCCUCCCUCCUUCCCGCCUUCCCGCCUUCCCACCAUGACCAGCAUGCGCCCGCCCGCCCGCUUCCCCCGGGCUCCAGGCGGUGGGAUACGCGGCCCGGUCCAACGCCUCGCCAGUCUCCGCAACCCCAAUCCCAUCCCGAGUCCUCGCCCGCGCCUGCAACAAAAGCCCACCACCCAUCCCAAGACCUCAACCUGCCCAAACCCUGGCUGUCCGGCCCCGAAUAUCGUGGAGGAUGAUGGCAUGAAAGUGUGUUCGGGCUGUGGUACUGUCGUCAGCGAAGCGAACAUUGUCUCGGAAAUCACAUUUGGCGAAUCUGCGUCCGGUGCUGCUGUCGUGCAAGGCACCUUUGUCGGGGCGGGUCAGAGCUACGGGCGCAGCUUCGGGCCUGGGUUCCAACGGGGUGGUGGCAUGGAGAGUAGGGAGAUUACGGAGCAAAAUGGAAACCGCUAUAUUGCCCAGUUAUCUCGAGCCUUGAACGUCCCUGAGAGCGCCACAAAGGCUGCUGGACAAGUUUUCAAGCUUGCGGUGGGGUUAAAUUUUAUCCAAGGUCGCCGCACAAAAACCGUUGCGGCCGUGUGUCUGUAUAUUGCCUGUCGCCGCCAGGAUGGAAAUACAGUCAUGCUGAUUGACUUUGCCGAUGUGCUGAUGAUUAAUGUGUUCAAACUCGGUCGUGCGUACAAAGCAUUACUUGACGAGCUACGUCUGGGCGGAAAUGUCUUUAUCAUGAACCCCAUUGACCCAGAAAGCUUAAUCUACCGGUUCGCGAAACAGCUUGAGUUCGGUUCCUCGAUGAUGCAGGUUGCAAGCGAGGCAGUACGCAUUGUGCAGCGAAUGAACCGCGACUGGAUGAUUACCGGUCGGCGCCCCGCAGGCAUUUGCGGAGCGGCCCUAAUCCUUGCAGCCCGCAUGAACAACUUCCGGCGAACUAUCCGCGAGGUCGUGUACGUGGUUAAAGUAACGGAGCUCACGAUCCAUCAACGGUUGAACGAAUUUAAAGCGACGGAAAGCGGAGACCUCACCGUCGACCAAUUCCGUUCCGUCCAGUUGGAGAACGCACACGACCCGCCUGCCUUCACGCAGGGAAAGAGAUUGAAACAGGCAAUGAAGCAGAAAAACGCAACCACUGAAAUCGCAAACGGCGAUAAGGAUGAAAAUGCCCGACAGCUAACAACAACAUCUUCCGCUCCGAGAACAAUGCGAGUAGACGCAGAUGGCUUCGCUAUCCCAGACGUCCCCAUCGACCCCGCCUUGUUAGCCGACAAAGACGGGGGCCCCCCAGGUCCCUCAACAACAACAAAAGCCAAACGCGGCCGACCAAAGGGCGCCAAAAACUUCCGCCCCCCACCCCCAACAGCAUCCGAACUAGCCUCUGAAUCCGCCCUCGAAUCCGAAAUGCAAGAACUCCUCACAACGGGCUCGAACCUGCGCGCCUCCACAAAUAGCACAACCUCUCACACCGCGCCAACAGCACAGCGCCCCGCCACCCCGCCACCGCCGAAACCGAUCCCUUCAACCCCGGACAUCGACGCCAGCGAAUUCGACUCCGACCCGGAAGUAAAAUACUGCCUCCUCUCCCCCGCCGAAGUCGAGAUCAAAGAGCGUAUCUGGGUCCACGAGAACAAGGACUAUCUGCGCACGCAACAGGCUAAAGCGCUCAAGCGUGCGUUGGCGACGGAGGAGGAUUUGAUGAACGGGCGGGUGCCUGGUAGUGGCAUGGGCCGUCGGCC
rnacentral:sRNA from 1 species